rnacentral:rRNA from 1 species
UACGGGGGGAGCAAGCGUUGUUCGGAUUUACUGGGCGUAAAAGGCGCGUAGGCGGCCACCGCAAGUCAAUUGUGAAAUCUCCGGGCUUAACUCGGAAAGGUCAACUGAUACUGCGGGGCUAGAGUGCGGAAGGGGCAACUGGAAUUCUCGGUGUAGCGGUGAAAUGCGUAGAUAUCGAGAGGAACACCUGCGGCGAAGGCGGGUUGCUGGGCCGACACUGACGCUGAUGCGCGAAAGCCAGGGGAGCGAACGGG